rnacentral:lncRNA from 1 species
GUUGCAGGGCUAAUUCACUGACCUCUAGGCAGAGUUUGGAAGUGGUGCUGGAAUCCAAGUGAUAUGACAACAUACAGAGCGUGUAGGUGGGCACCAAAAGGGGAAAAGAAAAGAGUGGAAUUCCCUGACCCUGUUUUGGGGAGAAGAUUGAGAAGUCCUGAUGAGCCAGUGAACACUGAUGUACUUGAACAUCUCCAGGUUUUAGAGACAGCAAGUAAGUGUGGUCUUGAGUCCAGGGAAGCAGUGAGGUCCCAUCACUUCCAUGUGAACAGGUAAGUGAGAAGGUGUCCCUCAUUAUUCUAUGCCUUUUCUGUAUUGUAAGUGCUCAGUUCAGAAAGGAUGUUGUCCUGGGAAAUAUUAGUGUCUCUGCAGGCACUUGGCAUGAACAAAGUCAGAGGAAUGAUGAAGAGGUGAGCAUGAAAGCAGUAUUUCUGCCCAGAUGUUUGUGUUCUUGAUAUCCUCCCCGAGGACAAGCAAGCACAGCAGAAUUUUCAGGUGUCCGGUUAGAAGAUGUUCGAUUGUUGAAAUAGGAAUGUUUUCCUGGCAAUCAUCCCAGCAUCCAGAUAAGUUUCCAGUGUCAUUCAGUUCUUUAUAAAAGCACUAAAAUCCUCAUCAGCUCUACACUGACAUCCAUUUCUUCAUGUUUUAUCCAGGUUCCCAUGAAGAGAGGUGUGAGACGCAAGAAGGCUGUAGUCAGAACCCUGAGUGAAUGUUAGUUAAGAAGUAGGACCCUAUGUCUUCACUGAUUCCUCUGGAAAGAGAAUAAUGAUGCUGAGAAGGCUGUGAAUGGAACCCCAUGAAAUGUCAGGAACGUUCGAAGAGGUCCCUUGGUCACCCAUCUCCCUGCUGUUUGACAUGGUUGACAACAAAGGAAAAACUAGAGACUUACCAGAAUGGCUAAUGGUAAGCAUGACAUUUUCUUGUAAAUUGACUGUAUAUAAGGUGUUUUCCAUGUUCCCUGUCAUGUAUGGAGACCCAAGGAUUCCUUUUGCUAUCCAUGUCUCC